rnacentral:rRNA from 1 species
AUUGAACGCUGGCGGCAGGCCUAACACAUGCAAGUCGAGCGAGCGGCGGACGGGUGCGUAAUGUCUGGGAAACUGCCUGAUGGCGGGGGAUAACUACUGGAAACGGUAGCUAAUCCCGCAUACCAUCCGAUUUCCCCAGAGGGGAGGAGCUAGUAGGUGGGGUAAUGGCCCACAUAGGCGACGAACCCUAGCUGGUCUGCGAGGAUGAUAAGCCACACUGGGACUGAGACACGGCCCAGACUCCUACGGGAGGCAGCAGUGGGGAAUAUUGCACAAUGGGCGCAAGCCUGAUUCAGCCAUGCCGCGUGUGUGAAGAAGGCCUUCGGGUUGUAAAGCACUUUCAGUGGGGAGGCGUUACCCACAGAAGAAGCACCGGCUAACUCCGUGCCAGCAGCCGCGGUAAUUC